CAUUUCCUUUUGUUUGCCCUGCUUUCAGGCGUGCACAUGGCAACAGCGUUAAUCCAAAGCCAUUUCCUUCAGGCAGAGCCAAGAGAAAGGAGAUGUUCUUUCUGCUGCACAACAAGCUUUGAACCCAGCUCUCGUCUGGGAGCGCGUGUGCUGUUUCUAUGGAACUCACCAUCCCGUCCUAGCCUCUCCAGGAGUCACGGCCAGGACACCCGAACGAAAGGAUCUCAGGGAACCGGAAAAGGAGAAGAGCAAAUCAUCAGCCUGCCAGCCCCGCAGCGGUGUUUGCACAGAGAACCAGCCUCGGCUUCCUCUCUCUGUGCGUAAUACAAGCAGAAGUGGGAAACGCCUGACUCAUGCAUGCUUCUGGCCGCUCGAGCCGAAAUAAACCCACCAACCAGAUGGCUUGGCCGGAAAAGGAUGAAAAAAAUGUUAGAGAAAAAGCAAAUAAAAGUCCCGCAGAGCUCUGCUCGGGGGGCUUGCUGGGGCUUUCUCCUCCGAGGCAAGGAGUUGGUGCUGCGUGCCCAGGACGCUCGCAGCUCGCCGCAGCAGGGCAUGCAAGACCCUGCCGGAACUGGUGACCCUAAAAUAGGGACUGCAAGAGCUCUCCUUCUCCAUCCCACCUGCCUUACGCCCCGACACCUGCGGUGGACCAGCCUCCCACGCUGUGCUCCAGGGCUGCCAGCAGCGUGUGGGUGACCAGAGCACAAGCACGCUCGGCACGCUCCAGCAGGGAAGCAGUCUGAACAGGGCUGGGUCAGCCGAGCCCUUAGGGUGCCCUCCUUCGGGUCCCAGCUCCUGCAGGCCAGUUCUCAAUCGCCAGUUUAAAAAACCCAAACAAGCUGUUGCACCAAAUGUUUGAAAACAGCAGCUGCUCGCCCCCAGUUUGCAAAGGGCCUGAGACACCAGCUCGCCGGGACUCAGGGUGCUUUCGUGGUGCCCACUCAUCGCAAGGCUGUGACACAGGACUGCUGGGGGCAGCCCAGGGCCUCGUGUCACAGGCCAGCCCCGUGGCAGUUUUGGGGGAAAACCUGAGAUAGCAUUGUGUGUAUGCUGAAGACAGGAAAAUGGGUCUGCAGAAAUGCUCUGGGUUACCUCGC